GAAAGUUGGGGGCUCGAAGACGAUUAGAUACCGUCGUAGUCUCAACCAUAAACGAUGCCGACUAGGGAUUGGCAGAUGUUCUUNUGAUGACUCUGCCAGCACCUUAUGAGAAAUCAAAGUUUUUGGGU
rnacentral:ncRNA from 1 species